rnacentral:rRNA from 1 species
GAUGAACGCUGGCGGCGUGCCUAAUACAUGCAAGUCGAGCGAACAGAUGAGGAGCUUGCUCCUCUGACGUUAGCGGCGGACGGGUGAGUAACACGUGGAUAACCUACCUAUAAGACUGGGAUAACUUCGGGAAACCGGAGCUAAUACCGGAUAAUAUAUUGAACCGCAUGGUUCAAUAGUGAAAGACGGUUUUGCUGUCACUUAUAGAUGGAUCCGCGCCGCAUUAGCUAGUUGGUAAGGUAACGGCUUACCAAGGCAACGAUGCGUAGCCGACCUGAGAAGGUGAUCGGCCACACUGGAACUGAGACACGGUCCAGACUCCUACGGGAGGCAGCAGUAGGGAAUCUUCCGCAAUGGGCGAAAGCCUGACGGAGCAACGCCGCGUGAGUGAUGAAGGUCUUCGGAUCGUAAAACUCUGUUUUUAGGGAAGAACAAAUGUGUAAGUAACUAUGCACGUCUUGACGGUACCUAAUCAGAAAGCCACGGCUAACUACGUG